rnacentral:lncRNA from 1 species
CCUGUAAUUCCAGCUACUUGGGAGGCUGAGGCAGGAGAAUCGCUGGAACCUGAAAGACAGAGAUUGCAGCGAGCCGACAUCACACCACUGCACUCCAACUGGGGCGACAGAGCGAGACUCCAUCUCAAAAAAAAGAAAAAAGAAUGGGACACACUACUCCUUAGGCAACAGUGUUGGGUUCAUGUUUAUAGAUGAUGGAAUGAAGCAGCGGGGGACAACUUCUGGCUGGAGUGGCUUGGAGGCUGGAGCAGCUGAGCUUUAACAAGCAUCAGAGGUCAGAAUUACUUGGCUAGAUCAAGAAGCCACACAGCAUCAUAAUGCCGCUGGCACAUCUCCCAGAACAGGUUGGUUGAAUCCAUGGAUGAGAAACCUGCAGAUACCGAGGGCUGGCUUCAUUUAGAUUCCUAAUCAUUCCUCCAGGUAGUCAAUUUUUUAAAAUCACAUUGACAAGCUCAUUCACCCAUUUCUUCAUUCAACACAUAUUUAUUACAGGGUGAUUGGACUUCUAGGCUGUCAGAGCUAGAAAAGGCCUUAUGCAUCUUUUACCCCACACCCUUCAUUUUACCCAAGGGAGAUGGAGGCAGGGCUAGCCCUAAACCCAGAGUCUCUCAGCCUCACCCCUGAUCUAAUCAUCAUCUCACCACCCCAACCAAGCACUUAGCAGUAUAAAACCUUGUGCAAAAUAUAUGUACUUUUUCACUUCAAAAA